AUUUAAGGGGUGCUUUUUAAAAACGCUCAAGUUUUUAAAAGGCUGAGAUCAAACCCAUAGAACUUGUCAAGGUAAUUCUUGCGUAAGGAAUAG
rnacentral:misc_RNA from 1 species